rnacentral:misc_RNA from 1 species
GGGGACCCAAAUCAAGUUCCUGCAUCUGGAAACUUGAGUAAUGAGGAGUAUGAUAACGAAGAGCAGACUGAUUCAGAGAGGUAUAGCUUUGCUCUCCGGAUUGUCCUUUUGUUGGUUGUGGCAUGGAUGACUCUUCUUGUCUUCAACUCAGCAUUGAUAGUGGUACCAACUUCACUUGGACGGGCACUUUUCAAUGCCAUUCCGCUUCUUCCCAUCACACAUGGAAUCAAGUGCAAUGAUAUGUAUGCUUUUGUCAUCGGGAGCUACGUUAUUUGGACGGCAAUAGCUGGUGCCAGAUAUUCCAUUGAAUAUGUCAGAGCAAGGAGGGUGACAGUUUUGUUGGGCCAGAUAUGGAAAUGGUUUGCCAUUGUCGUCAAGAGUUCUGCACUUUUGUCAAUUUGGAUCUUUCUCAUUCCAGUAUUGAUUGGCUUGUUAUUUGAGCUUCUGGUCAUCGUGCCUAUGCGAGUUCCGGUGGAUGAAAGCCCAGUUUUCCU